rnacentral:rRNA from 1 species
AGGACGAACGCUGGCGGCGUGCCUAACACAUGCAAGUCGAACGGGUUCCAUCCGGUGGCAACACCGGAGAAGAACUAGUGGCGAACGGGUGAGUAACACGUGAAGAACCUGCCCCGAAGACCGGGAUAAGCCGAGGAAACUUGGUCUAAUACCGGAUACCCCCAUCAGGUCGCAUGGCCAGAUGAGGAAAUGGAUUCCGCUUUGGAGGCUUCGCGGCCUAUCAGCUAGUU